GUUUUGGCGUCGGGGCGGCUGUGCUUGGCGCCUCUUCGGUUUUUUGUGUUGGUGUCGGUGGUGGUUGUUCCAUGGGAGUCUCGUCAUUUUUGCUGAAAUAACAUGAUGCCUAAUGUUACUGCACCAUGUAAGAAAUUUAAAUUGCGACUACAAGUUUUCAAAUUUAUUUGAUUUAUUCCACGAUGACAAAUAUCAAAGAACAAUUGAGGAAAGACUCAAAUUUUGUAUCAUUCGUCACAGCAUUCUUUUAUCGAUUCUAAAUAAGGUCAGAAAUGAGUUGCAACAUUUUAUCGUCAUUUUUGCCACCACGGGAGCUGUACUGUUCAUAAGUAUUGCAGUAUUUUGCUACUCAUUUGAGGGAAAUUUGCGAAAUGAAUAUAAGUCACUAUUGCUUUUGGUUCUCAUAGGAGCACUUACUUGUGGUCACGUGGUGGUCUCUGGCCAGUUGAUUGAAAACGUUACUUUUGAUCAUUACGAAAUUCUACGAACUGUUGAGUGGGAUUGUUGGAAUACUAGAAACAAAAACUUGUUUGUUAUUUAUUUGCAAAACUCACGAGAAAUUUUCAAAAUCAGAUUUACAGAAAAUUUGUCUGUUAAUUUUUUAUUAGGUAUUUCCAUUGUCAGAGCUCUUUUUACCGCCUUUUCCCUCAUGAGACAACUACAGUUAUCAAGAAAAGAAUAAAUAAAUAAAUAAAAUAAAAUAAGGGAACAUAUUUUCUACAAAAGAAAGAAGACUCGAAAUACAAGGUGACCCAGGAGUGUGAAAUCGGUCUACAACUUUUUUGGAAAAAAAAAUUGAAAUAUUGUUAUGCUGUUUUUAUUAUCCGGUAGAUUGACUUAUAAUUGGAAUAAUUGGAAUCUACGCAAAAAAAUAAUGUAACUUUAUAAAAGCUAAUAUGGGUCUAUCUUUUUUGUUUUGGAAUUAUGUACUUUCUUUUUCGUUGAAAAAUCACUGCAAAGUCGCCUGUGAGUAUUUUCCGGCAAAUUUGCAACAGAAAAGUUCAGAAUACCUUGCAGUUUUAGCAAAUAAACGAUUUUUAGUAAAAGCACGCUAAUAAUAUACAGAGUGUGCCAAAACGCAAAAAGUUGAAUAACUCAUUUUUUCAAAUAGAACAUCCUGUAUUUUUUAUGUAUCAAUGACAUUUUUGAUAAGCUUUCUAAGAGUAUGGAGCUUGCAUAGCAAAUUUAAAAUAUUUUUCAAGAUUUAAAAAAUAUAUAUGUUAUUACAAGAAAAUUUGUUAUCCUAGAAUCUGAUAAGUCAAAUGGUAAUUUAUUUUUGGAUAGGUACUAAUGUGACUAAUUACAUUAGUAAUCUAAUUAUUACUUGGUACAUAAAUGAAUUUUGCUCAUCAAGAAAUAAUGAUAAAAUAAAUAAAAAAAGAAAUUUUUCUUUACACUUUAAGAAAUAUUUCAAAUUUGCUGUACAAACCGCAUAUCGUUAAAAAGCAUAUAAAAAAUGCUAUCGAUACCUGUAACGAAAUACAUGUCGUUUUAUUAAAAAAAAAUGAGUUAAUCAACUUUUUGCUUUUUGGCAUAUUAUCUGCGUG